rnacentral:rRNA from 1 species
GCUUCCGUUGUAAUGACGUGCUUGCACUGAUUUCAACAAUGAAGCGAGUGGCGAACUGGUGAGUAACACGUGGGAAAUCUGCCCAGAAGCAGGGGGAUAACACUUGGAAACAGGUGCUAAUACCGUAUAACAACAAAAUCCGCAUGGAUUUUGUUUGAAAGGUGGUUUCGGCUAUCACUUCUGGAUGAUCCCGCGGCGUAUUAGUUAGUUGGUGAGGUAAAGGCCCACCAAGACGAUGAUACGUAGCCGACCUGAGAGGGUAAUCGGCCACAUUGGGACUGAGACACGGCCCAAACUCCGUACGGGAGGCAGCAGUAGGGAAUCUUCCACAAUGGACGAAAGUCUGAUGGAGCAAUGCCGCGUGAGUGAAGAAGGGUUUCGGCUCGUAAAACUCUGUUGUUAAAGAAGAACACCUUUUGAGAGUAACUGUUCAAGGGUUGACGGUAUUUAACCAGAAAGCCACGGCUAACUACGUGC